AGUGCUUUUAGGGUUCCAGCGUUUCAUUGCCAUGGCAAGAAAGUGCAAUUGGACAUAACGUCACACAAAAAAGAUCAGCAUGAACUCUGGAGGUAUGGAAGUCACGGCCAACAGACUGGAUCUCAGCGUUCCCUUCCUCUCUCUGUCCCAGGGGUCUGUCUGUGGCGUCCAUCCAGGUCGAGCGCUCAGAGCACAUAGAAGAUAAAAGAUGUCAGACUGAGCUCUAGGGUGUCACAUCAGCACCUACAGGACUUGAAGCAUCUCCUUUAUCCAUCUAUCUUCUGUCUAUCGUCUAUCUAUUUAUCUCCUCGAUGAUGCCGUGCUCAAGGAUGGUGAGAUUGGGAAUAUAGUCAG